GACGAACGCUGGCGGCGUGCUUAACACAUGCAAGUCGAACGAUGAACCCGGAGCUUGCUCUGGGGGAUAAGUGGCGAACGGGUGAGUAACACGUGAGUAACCUGCCCUGGACUCUGGGAUAAGCGUUGGAAACGACGUCUAAUACCGGAUAGGACCUUGGAUCGCAUGAUCUGGGGUGGAAAGUUUUUUCGGUCUGGGAUGGACUCGCGGCCUAUCAGCUUGUUGGUGAGGUAAUGGCUCACCAAGGCGUCGACGGGUAGCCGGCCUGAGAGGGUGACCGGCCACACUGGGACUGAGACACGGACCAGACUCCUACGGGAGGCAGCAGUGGGGAAUAUUGCACAAGGGGCGAAAGCCUGAUGCAGCAACGCCGCGUGCGGGAUGACGGCCUUCGGGUUGUAAACCGCUUUUAGUAGGGAAGAAGGGCUUCGGCUUGACGGUACCUGCAGAAAAAGGACCGGCUAACUACGUG
rnacentral:rRNA from 1 species